UUGUUGCGACAUAACUACCAGCAGUAUAUCAGAACUUCAGGGGAGAGCAGUCAAUUUUCUAUCAUUAAUUGUAGCGCAGUAAAGUUUAAUAAUCAUUCUUUUUCUAUAAUAUUUUUAAAACAAAAUAUUUCAGAACUGCUUCAAAAUUUAAACAGAGCAACAUUAAUUUAUGAGUUUAGCGAGUCGCGCACAUUAAAACAAGUCCAUACCCAGUCUUGUACUAAAGUCAUUUUUUAUUUUAAAAUACGUUAAUAAGAUACAAUUAGUCUUCCCCUAUCACCAGAUAAUGAUGUACAAAUAGAGUCAUGUAUAAUUAUUCCCAAUUUAAAUGUCAACAUAAUUUGUACAAUAGGAGUCCCAAAAGCAAACAGUCGAUAUAUUGAAAUGUAUCUAGUUCUAAAUAGUAGUUAAAUUUAUGAGCAAACAUAAUGACAUGACUUCGUUAUUUUUUUUUUGUUUUAUAAAAUACAUGUAUUUUGUAUGAGUAAUGACUUUUUGUCUCUAUCAUAAAAGUGUUCAAAUACUACAGGGCAGACAUAAAUGUAACGGGAUUUUUCAUUACUAAUGAUCUCAAAUCAAUCAAUAAAUUGUGACGUCAAACAAUGGCGCCUCUGAUAGAAUUAUAAUUUAUGCACAUCUCACUUUCUUAUACUGUAACAAGAUCUUCUACAAAAUGAUACAGGAGAAACAAGUUUUAUUUUUUUUCUUAUUAAGUUUCGGAAUUUCGGAAGGCUCAAGAUGCUAGUCCACAAGAAUUGAACCAGGUAUCAAAUUGACAUUGUAGCCCUACAGCCCGGAGCACAUGUCAUACAACCUGGCAGCCGAUGCUGCUGCAUGUCUUGAAGGUUGUAUAUAUUGUCUCUCAAACUGUUUCUCAACAUAAAACAAUAAUUUCUAUAGUGUUGGUAAAUAUCACAGUUAAUUUGUACACAAUAUAUUCUAUAAAUAUUUUGUUUUUUUAUAAUAAAGAAUCAAAUUAAAAAUAAGCAUAAUUUGUUUAUAAAAACAUAAACAAUAUACAUUUGGACAUUAAUUUAAAAUGUAAAAACGUAUAAAUAUAUAAACAAAAAGUAAUUAACCAUUCAUAACCAUUCAUAAAGACACAUGUGUUAUUUUCUUUUUUUUUUUUUUUUC